UUGACAGCCUUGGAAAGUAAGGUCUCCUAGCCAGAGAACAGGUACAGCACAAUCGGUAGAAAUGCACGCACACACAUACACAGACCACACACAGAGCGCCUCAGCUCUGACCUGGGGGAAAUCACCUCUAUGGACAGUAGGGUAGUUCAGUCUCCAGGGCCCAUUCAAAACCUUACCUGCU
rnacentral:sRNA from 1 species